rnacentral:rRNA from 1 species
UGUAGAUGACGCUGGCGGCGUGCUUAACACAUGCAAGUCGAACGAUGAUCCGGUGCUUGCAUCGGGGAUUAGUGGCGAACGGGUGAGUAACACGUGAGUAACCUGCCCUUGACUCUGGGAUAAGCCUGGGAAACUGGGUCUAAUACCGGAUACGACCAUCUGACGCAUGUCAUGGUGGUGGAAAGCUUUUGCGGUUUUGGAUGGACUCGCGGCCUAUCAGCUUGUUGGUGGGGUAAUGGCCUACCAAGGCGACGACGGGUAGCCGGCCUGAGAGGGUGACCGGCCACACUGGGACUGAGACACGGCCCAGACUCCUACGGGAGGCAGCAGUGGGGAAUAUUGCACAAUGGGCGAAAGCCUGAUGCAGCGACGCCGCGUGAGGGAUGACGGCCUUCGGGUUGUAAACCUCUUUCAGUAGGGAAGAAGCGAAAGUGACGGUACCUGCAGAAGAAGCGCCGGCUAACUACGUGCCAGCAGCCGCGGUAAUACGUAGGGCGCAAGCGUUAUCCGGAAUUAUUGGGCGUAAAGAGCUCGUAGGCGGUUUGUCGCGUCUGCUGUGAAAGACCGGGGCUCAACUCCGGUUCUGCAGUGGGUACGGGCAGACUAGAGUGAUGUAGGGGAGACUGGAAUUCCUGGUGUAGCGGUGAAAUGCGCAGAUAUCAGGAGGAACACCGAUGGCGAAGGCAGGUCUCUGGGCAUUAACUGACGCUGAGGAGCGAAAGCAUGGGGAGCGAACAGGAUUAGAUACCCUGGUAGUCCAUGCCGUAAACGUUGGGCACUAGGUGUGGGGGACAUUCCACGUUUUCCGCGCCGUAGCUAACGCAUUAAGUGCCCCGCCUGGAGA